rnacentral:rRNA from 1 species
UACGUAGGUGACAAGCGUUGUCCGGAUUUACUGGGCGUAAAGGGCGCGUAGGCGGCGUGACAAGUCACUUGUGAAAUCUCCGGGCUCAACCCGGAGCGGCCAAGUGAUACUGUCGUGCUAGAGUGCGGAAGGGGCUACUGGAAUUCUCGGUGUAGCGGUGAAAUGCGUAGAUAUCGAGAGGAACACCUGCGGCGAAGGCGGGUAGCUGGGCCGACACUGACGCUGAGGCGCGAAAGCCAGGGGAGCGAACGGG